AAUUCAGAUUGGGUAAUUGCUGUCUUAAAAUUUAAGAUGGAGGAAAGUCCGAACUCCACAGAACAGGGUGCCGGGUAACGCCCGGGGUUCCGCGCAAGCGGGAUACGGACAGUGCCACAGAAAAGAUACCGCUCCGACUUGUCGGAGUAAGGGUGAAAUGGCAGGGUAAGAGCCUACCGCUCCUUUAGUAAUAAAGGAGGCAAGGUAAACCCCACCCGGAGCAAGAUCAAAUAGGGAAAGCUUUCUGCUUAGCGGCGGAACAGGGCUGUUCGUUCUGCGUGCUUUCCGGGUAGAUCGCUUGAAUAGCGGAGUAAUCCGUUAUCCAGAUAAAUAAUUACCGCCCUCCUUUGGAGGAAUACAAAAUUCGGCUUAUAGAUCUGGAUUAUUC
rnacentral:RNase_P_RNA from 1 species